UAGGGAAUCUUCCGCAAUGGGCGAAAGCCUGACGGAGCAACGCCGCGUGAGUGAUGAAGGUCUUCGGAUCGUAAAACUCUGUUAUUAGGGAAGAACAAAUGUGUAAGUAACUAUGCACGUCUUGACGGUACCUAAUCAGAAAGCCACGGCUAACUACGUGCCAGCAGCCGCGGUAAUACGUAGGUGGCAAGCGUUAUCCGGUAUUAUUGGGCGUAAAGCGCGCGUAGGCGGUUUUUUAAGUCUGAUGUGAAAGCCCACGGCUCAACCGUGGAUGGUCAUUGGAAACUGGAAAACUUGAGUGCAGAAGAGGAAAGGGGAAUUCCAUGUGGAGCGGUGAAAUGCGCAGAGAUAUGGGGGAACACCAGUGGCGAAGGCGACUUUCUGGUCUGUAACUGACGCUGGUGUGCGAAAGCGUGGGGAUCAAACAGG
rnacentral:rRNA from 1 species